rnacentral:rRNA from 1 species
CACGUAGGGCGCGAGCGUUGUCCGGAUUUAUUGGGCGUAAAGAGCGUGUAGGCGGCCAGGUAGGUCAGCUGUGAAAACUCGAGGCUCAACCUCGAGACGCCGGUUGAAACCAUCUGGCUAGAGUCCGGAAGAGGAGAGUGGAAUUCCUGGUGUAGCGGUGAAAUGCGCAGAUAUCAGGAGGAACACCGGUGGCGAAGGCGGUUCUCUGGGCAUGUCCUGACGCUGAGGAGCGAAAGUGUGGGGAGCGAACAGG